AUACUUUUCUGGUGCCGGGCCUCAUUGAUCACCGAGGACGAGCGCCCAGGGCGAUGCGCGGGCCUUGCACUGUGCUCGCUUUGACCCCUGCCGCUACCCCAAACUUGGGCAGAUGGGGCAUGUACGUUGCUUAAAUGCGGUUAGAACGCAAG
rnacentral:snRNA from 1 species